rnacentral:misc_RNA from 1 species
GAAAUGCGAUAAGUAAUGUGAAUUGCAGAAUUCAGUGAAUCAUCGAAUCUUUGAACGCACCUUGCGCUCCUUGGUAUUCCUUGGAGCAUGCCUGUUUGAGUAUCAUGAAAUCUUCAAAGUAAAUCUUUUGUUAACUCAAUUGGUUUCUACUUUGGUAUUGGAGGUCUUUGCAGCUUCACACCUGCUCCUCUUUGUUCAUUAGCUGGAUCUCAGUGUUAUGCUUGGUUCCACUCGGCGUGAUAAGUUAUCUAUCGCUGAGGACACUGUAAAAGGUGGCCAAGGUAAAUGCAGAUGAACCGCUUCUAAUAGUCCAUUGACUUGGACAAUACUUUUAUGAUCUGAUCUCAAAUCAGGUAGGACUACCCGCUGAACUUAAGCAU